rnacentral:rRNA from 1 species
CAGUCGACGGUAGCACAGAGGAGCUUGCUCCUUGGGUGACGAGUGCCGUACGGGUGAGUAAUGUCUGGGAAACUGCCCGAUGGAGGCCGAUAACUACUGGAAACGGUAGCUAAUACCGCAUAACGUCGCAAGACCAAAGAGGGGGACCUUCGGGCCUCUUGCCAUCGGAUGUGCCCAGAUGGGAUUAGCUAGUAGGUGGGGUAACGGCUCACCUAGGCGACGAUCCCUAGCUGGUCUGAGAGGAUGACCAGCCACACUGGAACUGAGACACGGUCCAGACUCCUACGGGAGGCAGCAGUGGGGAAUAUUGCACAAUGGGCGCAAGCCUGAUGCAGCCAUGCCGCGUGUAUGAAGAAGGCCUUCGGGUUGUAAAGUACUUUCAGCGAGGAGGAAGGUGUUGUGGUUAAUAACCACAGCAAUUGACGUUACUCGCAGAAGAAGCACCGGCUAACUCCGUGCCAGCAGCCGCGGUAAUACGGAGGGUGCAAGCGUUAAUCGGAAUUACUGGGCGUAAAGCGCACGCAGGCGGUCUGUCAAGUCGGAUGUGAAAUCCCCGGGCUCAACCUGGGAACUGCAUCCGAAACUGGCAGGCUAGAGUCUUGUAGAGGGGGGGUAGAAUUCCAGGUGUAGCGGUGAAAUGCGUAGAGAUCUGGAGGAAUACCGGUGGCGAAGGCGGCCCCCUGGACAAAGACUGACGCUCAGGUGCGAAAGCGUGGGGAGCAAACAGGAUUAGAUACCCCGGUAGUCCACGCCGUAAACGAUGU